GCCUGGCUAGCUCAAUGGCUAGAGCGUUUGACUUUUAAUUCCAAUAAUCAAUUCAGAUUUAAGAGGUAUCAAAAGGCUGCGGGUUCGAGUCCCGCGUCGGGCU